rnacentral:misc_RNA from 1 species
UAUUUUGUUAUGUGGGGUUCCUCCCUUUUGGGCUGAAUCUGAACAAGGUGUUGCCCAAGCCAUUUUACGUGGGGCAAUUGAUUUCAAACGGGAACCCUGGCCUAGUAUUUCAGAAGGUGCUAAAAAUCUUGUCAGGCAAAUGUUAGAGGCAGAUCCAAAGCUUCGACUGUCUGCAAAGCAAGUACUUGAACACCCUUGGCUUCAAAAUGCUAAGAAGGCUCCAAAUGUCCCACUUGGAGAUGUUGUGAAGUCAAGGCUUAAGCAGUUCUCAAUGAUGAAUAGGUUUAAGAGGAAAGCUCUGAGGGUAAUUGCUGAUUUCUUGUCUAAUGAAGAAGUUGGAGACCUCAAAGAAAUGUUUAACAAGAUAGACACUAAUAAUGAUGGCAUUGUUUCAGUCGAAGAACUUAAAGCAGGACUAAAGCUCAACUCCCAGCUGGCAGAAUCUGAAGUACAGAUGCUUAUUGAAGCCAUUGAUACUAAUGGCAAAGGGACCUUGGAUUAUGGGGAAUUUAUAGCCAUAUCCCUCCAUCUUCAAAGGAUGGCUAACGAUGAACAUUUGCACAAAGCUUUCUCCUAUUUUGACAAGGAUGGAAAUGGUUACAUCGAGCCGGAUGAGCUUCGGGAUGCCUUGAUGGAGGAUGGAGCAGAUGACUGCACCAAUGUCGCGAAUGACAUUUUCCAGGAGGUUGAUACAGACAA